AUUGAACUGCACCCCUUUUUAUUUUGUUAUUCUCUAUUUUACUAUCGACACAUUUUUUAGAUGGACAAGAGAGACUUUUUAUAUCCAGAAAUUGUUCUAACCACCUUCAUCUUGCCGCAUGUAUGAUCAGCAGGAGAUGUUAUUGUCAUGCAUGAUGGAGAGAAACUCGCCAGCACCAUAAUGUUGAACUUCCAAAACUCAAAAUACCUUAACAAAACAACAACACAAAAAAUAAAAAUUGUAUACAUUAAGUGCAAGCAGCAUCCUGUAGCGAACACCCAUUUUCAUCCAGUAUACAUGGAUGGUUAUUGAACAACUACACAAAGGUCCACACUCUCAAAAAUGACAUCUCCCCACCUAGUUAUCACAAUAGCUGGUAUUUUUCAUCAUCAUGGCAGAGUCACCAAAAUCUAUCUCGCCAUCAACUGUGACAGAGCAGAAAUCAAGUUGAGUCAAUUGAUUCUCCACUAGGAUAAAGUUUCAGAAAAUUGAAGCUCUUCCAUUGUCAGCAAAGAGAGAGAAGUGGCCAACAAUUUUUUCAUCCGUCUCUUGAAAAUAUUACUUGGAUGUCUUUGGGAGAGUGGUUUUUUAACCCAACUCUUUUUGGUAAUACGCUAAAAAUCAACAUCUGAAACCUUUCCCUGCAAAAUAUAAUAGAGUUCACAACAAUGUUCUUACCUGGACGGUGUUUGCACCCCAAUCUGGACUGCGGGAGGAUGAGGAUGUGCAUGCCUCUGCUGCGGAGCACGCGAGCACACACACACACACACACACACACACUAACACACAUGCCUCUGCACGGAGCACGCACACAUCAAACUGAAGCUUUUCUCAAAAAGCAAGAGGAAUUCCAACAAUCUUGUUCGA
rnacentral:lncRNA from 1 species